CCUGAACGCUGGCGGCGUGGCUAAGACAUGCAAGUCGUACGGUGUAGCAAUACACAGUGGCGAACGGGUGAGUAAUGAAUCGCUAAUGUACCCCGGACUCUGGGAUAGCCGGCCGAAAGGCCGGGUAAUACCAGAUGAUAUAUCUUUAUCGCAUGAUAGAGAUCUCAAAGGUCCGCCGGUCUGGGAGCAGGCGAUUUUGUAUCAGCUAGUUGGGUGAGGUAACGGCUCACCAAGGCGAUGACGCAUAGCCGGACUGAGAGGUUGGCCGGCCACAUUGGGACUGAGACACUGCCCCAGGACUCCUACGGGGGGCUGCGAGUAACGAAUCUUCCGCAAUGACACGAAAGUGUGACGGA
rnacentral:rRNA from 1 species